GUUACAUUGUGUUUCAGACACAAACCAGAUCUUUUGAAAGGACGCUUUCGUCGCCUGAAGUACCUUGAUAUGAAUAGGAUUGAUCUGAUCCCAAUGUGCAUCAUGGUCUGCUGUGUUCUGCAUAACCUGUGUCUCACCAAUGAGAAGGAUGUGGAGGACAUGAUCCAGACUGGGCAGGAGGAGCCACCACAGGAGGUACAUCAGGACCAAGAGCGGUAGCUGCUGAGAAGAGAAAUUACAAAUGAAUACCGUUGUUUUCUUUGCAGUCGGCAAGAAUCAUGUCAAGGCAGGGACAGAGAAAGGUGGCUGUGAAGACACACCGAUAUCUGUGUCAGACAGCAAGAGAUCCUGCCUGGGAAACAGGAUACCCUAUCCCACUAAAUGUGUGGGGAAAUUGAGCGCACCAGGGCUGUCACAUAGCUCCAUGAGACGACUGCAGGCAUGGACCUCACAUGGGCACAUACAUGUGUCCUCAUGUGUACA